AGCAGCCGCGGUAAUUCCAGCUCCAAUAGCGUAUAUUAAAGUUGUUGCAGUUAAAAAGCUCGUAGUUGAAUUUCGGGAUCAAUAUAUCGGUCGUGCCUUGGUACGUACUGGUAUCAUUGGUUUCUCCUUUCUGACGAACCAUGAUGUCAUUAAUUUGGUGUUAUGGGAAGUUAGGACUGUUACUUUGAAAAAUUAGAGUGUUUAAAGCAGGCUUUGGCUUGAAUACAUUAGCAUGGAAUAAUGAAAUAGGACGUUCGAACCUAUUUUGUUGGUUUCUAGGAUCAACGUAAUGAUUAAUAGGGAUAGUUGGGGGCAUUAGUAUUCAAUUGUCAGAGGUGAAAUUCUUGGAUUUAUUGAAGACUAACUACUGCGAAAGCAUUUGCCAAGGAUGUUUUCAUUAAUCAAGAACGAAAGUUAGGGGAUCGAAGACGAUCAGAUACCGUCGUAGUC
rnacentral:rRNA from 2 species